AUUGAACGCUGGCGGCAGGCUUAACACAUGCAAGUCGAGCGGAGUGAUGGUGCUUGCACCCUCACUUAGCGGCGAACGGGUGAGUAAUGCCUAGGAAUCUGCCCAUUAUCGGGGGACAACGUGUGGAAACGCACGCUAAUACCGCAUACGCCCUACGGGGGAAAGCAGGGGACUCUUUGAGCCUUGCACUAAUGGAUGAGCCUAGGUCAGAUUAGCUAGUUGGUGGGGUAAAGGGCUACCAAGGCGACGACCGGUAGCGGGACUGAGAGGAUGAUCCGCCACACUGGGACGGAGACACGGUCCAGACUCCUACGGGAGGGAGCAGGGGGGAAUAUUGGACAAUGGGGGGAAGGCUGGUCCAGCCAAGCCGGGUGUGGGAAGAAGGCCUUUUGGUUGUAAAGCACUUGAAGCGAGGAGGAGGCUUAUCUGGUAAAUACCUGGGAUGAGUGGACGGUACUCGCAGAAUAAGCACCGGCUAACUACGUG
rnacentral:rRNA from 1 species